rnacentral:rRNA from 1 species
AGAGCGAACGCUGGCGGCAGGCCUAACACAUGCAAGUCGAGCGCCCGUAGCAAUACGGGAGCGGCAGACGGGAUAGUAACACGUGGGAACGCGCCCUUCGGUUCGGAAUAACUCAGGGAAACUUGAGCUAAUACCGGAUACGCCCUUACGGGGAAAGAUUUAUUGCCGAAGGAACGGCCCGCGUCCGAUUAGCUAGUUGGUGAGGUAACGGCUCACCAAGGCGACGAUCGGUAGCUGGUCUGAGAGGAUGACCAGCCUCACUGGGACUGAGACACGGCCCAGACUCCUACGGGAGGCAGCAGUGGGGAAUAUUGGACAAUGGGCGCAAGCCUGAUCCAGCCAUGCCGCGUGGAUGAUGAAGGCCUUAGGGUUGUAAAGUCCUUUAACGGGGAAGAUAAUGACGGUACCCGUAGAAUAAGCCCCGGCUAACUUCGUGCCAGCAGCCGC